GCGGGGGUGGCAGAGUCUGGUCAAAUGCGCACGAUUGAGGGUCGUGUUCCUUAGUGGAUGCGAGGGUUCGAAUCCCUUCCUCCGCA
rnacentral:tRNA from 1 species